GAACUAAAACCUCACUGGCUAGAAGAUGAAUUCAGAGAACGAGACUAAGAAGGAGGAUUCAAAGAAGCAGGAGAAUGCCACGGGUCAUGGCGGCCAUUGAACUGACACAAUUUCUGCAGAGUCCAGAUCAUCAUUUUGCCUGUCUUGUUGAAGAAGUCUUUUUUUUUUUGAGGAAGAUUAGCCCUGAGCUAACAUCUGUCACCAAUCCUCCUCUUUUUGCUGAGGAAGACUGGCCCUGAACUAAAGUCUGUGCCCAUCUUCCUCUCCUUUAUAUGUGGGACACCUGCCACAGCAUGGCUUGACAAGUGCCAUGUCCGCACCUGGGAUCAGAACAAGCAAACCCUGGGCCACUGAAGUGGAACGUAUGAACUUAACCGCUGUGCCAACAGACUGGCCCAAGAAGUCUAUAUUUUUAAGCUUCCCAUAAUAAACAAUUUAUAGCGA